GGCUUCGUGGUCCAGUGGUAAAGAUACUUGCCCGGAAAGCAAAGAGACGUGGGUUCGAUUCCCACCGAGGCAUGACA